rnacentral:rRNA from 1 species
UGAACGCUAGCGACAGGCUUAACACAUGCAAGUCGAGGGGCAGCAUAAAAGUAGCAAUACUUGGUGGCGACCGGCGCACGGGUGAGUAACGCGUAUGCAACCUACCUAUCAGAGGGGAAUAACCCGGCGAAAGUCGGACUAAUACCGCAUAAAACAGGGACACCGCAUGGUGAUAUUUGUUAAAGAAAUUCGCUGAUAGAUGGGCAUGCGUUCCAUUAGGUAGUUGGUGAGGUAACGGCUCACCAAGCCGACGAUGGAUAGGGGAACUGAGAGGUUGGUCCCCCACACUGGUACUGAGACACGGACCAGACUCCUACGGGAGGCAGCAGUGAGGAAUAUUGGUCAAUGGGCGAGAGCCUGAACCAGCCAAGUCGCGUGAAGGAAGAAGGAUCUAUGGUUCGUAAACUUCUUUUGCAGGGGAAUAAAGUGCAGGACGUGUCCUGUUUUGUAUGUACCCUGAGAAUAAGGAUCGGCUAACUCCGUGCCAGCCGCCGC